GACGAACGCCGGCGGCGUGCUUAACACAUGCAAGUCGAACGGAAAGGCCCUGCUUUUGUGGGGUGCUCGAGUGGCGAACGGGUGAGUAACACGUGAGUAACCUGCCCUUGACUUUGGGAUAACUUCAGGAAACUGGGGCUAAUACCGGAUAGGAGCUCCUGCUGCAUGGUGGGGGUUGGAAAGUUUCGGCGGUUGGGGAUGGACGCGCGGCUUAUCAGCUUGUUGGUGGGGUAGUGGCUUACUAAGGCUUGGACGGGUAGCGGGCCUGAGACGGUGACCAGCCACAUUGGGACUGGGAUACGGCGGGGACUCCUACGGGAGGCAGCAGUGGGGAAUGUUGCACAAUGGGCGGAAGCCUGAGGCAGCAACGCCGCGUGCGGGAUGUCGGCCUUCGGGUUGGAAACCGCUUUCGCCUGUGACGAAGCGUGAGUGACGGUAAUGGGUAAAGAAGCACCGGCUAACUACGUG
rnacentral:rRNA from 1 species